rnacentral:RNase_P_RNA from 1 species
CAGCCGGACCGGACGGUCGCUCUCUUCGUCUUCGGACGAGGGGAGAGGAAAGUCCGAACUCCGCAGAGCAAUGUGCCGGAUAACGUCCGGGAGGCCGGGUUCAAGCAUGGUCGACGGAAAGUGCCACAGAAAGCAUGCCGCCGGCGACGCCGGGGUAAGGGUGAAAAGGUGCGGUAAGAGCGCACCGCCGCCACAGUAAUGCGGCGGGCAGGGCAAACCCCACACGGAGCAAGACCAAAUAGGGAGGGAGCCUGGCUUCGGCCGGGCACGUGCCGGCUCGGUGCGUCACAACCUCCGGGUAGGUCGCUAGAGCCGCGCAGCAAUGCGCGGCCCAGAGGAAUGGCCGUCCUGCCGGUUUCGGCCGGCGGACAGAAUUCGGCUUACAGGUCCGGCUGCUAC